rnacentral:rRNA from 2 species
GGUUAAGCGACUAAGCGUACACGGUGGAUGCCCUGGCAGUCAGAGGCGAUGAAGGGCGUGCUAAUCUGCGAUAAGCGCCGGUAAGGUGAUAUGAACCGUUAUAACCGGCGAUACCCGAAUGGGGAAACCCAGUGUGAUUCGUCACACUAUCAUUAACUGAAUCCAUAGGUUAAUGAGGCGAACCGGGGGAACUGAAACAUCUAAGUACCCCGAGGAAAAGAAAUCAACCGAGAUUCCCCCAGUAGCGGCGAGCGAACGGGGAGGAGCCCAGAGCCUGAAUCAGCAUGUGUGUUAGUGGAAGCGUCUGGAAAGGCGCGCGAUACAGGGUGACAGCCCCGUACACAAAAGCGCAUGUGCUGUGAGCUCGAUGAGUAGGGCGGGACACGUGGUAUCCUGUCUGAAUAUGGGGGGACCAUCCUCCAAGGCUAAAUACUCCUGACUGACCGAUAGUGAACCAGUACCGUGAGGGAAAGGCGAAAAGAACCCCGGCGAGGGGAGUGAAAAAGAACCUGAAACCGUGUACGUACAAGCAGUGGGAGCACAGGUUUACCUGUGUGACUGCGUACCUUUUGUAUAAUGGGUCAGCGACUUAUAUUCUGUAGCAAGGUUAACCGAAUAGGGGAGCCGGAGGGAAACCGAGUCUUAACCGGGCGUUAAGUUGCAGGGUAUAGACCCGAAACCCGGUGAUCUAGCCAUGGGCAGGUUGAAGGUUGGGUAACACUAACUGGAGGACCGAACCGACUAAUGUUGAAAAAUUAGCGGAUGACCUGUGGCUGGAGGUGAAAGGCCAAUCAAACCGGGAGAUAGCUGGUUCUCCCCGAAAGCUAUUUAGGUAGCGCCUCGUGAAUUCAUCUCCGGGGGUAGAGCACUGUUUCGGCUAGGGGGCCAUCCCGUCUUACCAACCCGAUGCAAACUGCGAAUACCGGAGAAUGUCAUCACGGGAGACACACGGCGGGUGCUAACGUCCGUCGUGAAGAGGGAAACAACCCAGACCGCCAGCUAAGGUCCCAAAGUCAUGGUUAAGUGGGAAACGAUGUGGGAAGGCCCAGACAGCCAGGAUGUUGGCUUAGAAGCAGCCAUCAUUUAAAGAAAGCGUAAUAGCUCACUGGUCGAGUCGGCCUGCGCGGAAGAUGUAACGGGGCUAAACCAUGCACCGAAGCUGCGGCAGCGAACGUAUCACUUAAAGCGAUUCAGCGGGUUACGAUUGACGGAGCGAAGCGACGUCAAAGCGUAUACAAAGUCGAGUCGGUUUAAGGAUACGUUCGUUGGGUAGGGGAGCGUUCUGUAAGCCUGCGAAGGUGGCCUGUGAGGGUUGCUGGAGGUAUCAGAAGUGCGAAUGCUGACAUAAGUAACGAUAAAGCGGGUGAAAAGCCCGCUCGCCGGAAGACCAAGGGUUCCUGUCCAACGUUAAUCGGGGCAGGGUGAGUCGACCCCUAAGGCGAGGCCGAAAGGCGUAGUCGAUGGGAAACGGGUUAAUAUUCCCGUACUUGGUGUUACUGCGAAGGGGGGACGGAGAAGGCUAUGUUGGCCGGGCGACGGUUGUCCCGGUUUAAGCGUGUAGGUGUGUGUUCCAGGUAAAUCCGGUUCACUUUAACACUGAGGCGUGAUGACGAGGCACUACGGUGCUGAAGUAACAAAUGCCCUGCUUCCAGGAAAAGCCUCUAAGCAUCAGGUAACAUCAAAUCGUACCCCAAACCGACACAGGUGGUCAGGUAGAGAAUACCAAGGCGCUUGAGAGAACUCGGGUGAAGGAACUAGGCAAAAUGGUGCCGUAACUUCGGGAGAAGGCACGCUGACACGUAGGUGAAGUGAUUUACUCACGGAGCUGAAGUCAGUCGAAGAUACCAGCUGGCUGCAACUGUUUAUUAAAAACACAGCACUGUGCAAACACGAAAGUGGACGUAUACGGUGUGACGCCUGCCCGGUGCCGGAAGGUUAAUUGAUGGGGUCAGCGCAAGCGAAGCUCCUGAUCGAAGCCCCGGUAAACGGCGGCCGUAACUAUAACGGUCCUAAGGUAGCGAAAUUCCUUGUCGGGUAAGUUCCGACCUGCACGAAUGGCGUAAUGAUGGCCAGGCUGUCUCCACCCGAGACUCAGUGAAAUUGAACUCGCUGUGAAGAUGCAGUGUACCCGCGGCAAGACGGAAAGACCCCGUGAACCUUUACUAUAGCUUGACACUGAACAUUGAGCCUUGAUGUGUAGGAUAGGUGGGAGGCUUUGAAGUGUGGACGCCAGUCUGCAUGGAGCCGACCUUGAAAUACCACCCUUUAAUGUUUGAUGUUCUAACGUGGACCCGUUACCCGGGUUGCGGACAGUGUCUGGUGGGUAGUUUGACUGGGGCGGUCUCCUCCUAAAGAGUAACGGAGGAGCACGAAGGUUGGCUAAUCCUGGUCGGACAUCAGGAGGUUAGUGCAAUGGCAUAAGCCAGCUUGACUGCGAGCGUGACGGCGCGAGCAGGUGCGAAAGCAGGUCAUAGUGAUCCGGUGGUUCUGAAUGGAAGGGCCAUCGCUCAACGGAUAAAAGGUACUCCGGGGAUAACAGGCUGAUACCGCCCAAGAGUUCAUAUCGACGGCGGUGUUUGGCACCUCGAUGUCGGCUCAUCACAUCCUGGGGCUGAAGCAGGUCCCAAGGGUAUGGCUGUUCGCCAUUUAAAGUGGUACGCGAGCUGGGUUUAGAACGUCGUGAGACAGUUCGGUCCCUAUCUGCCGUGGGCGCUGGAGAACUGAGGGGGGCUGCUCCUAGUACGAGAGGACCGGAGUGGACGCAUCACUGGUGUUCGGGUUGUCAUGCCAAUGGCACUGCCCGGUAGCUAAAUGCGGAAGAGAUAAGUGCUGAAAGCAUCUAAGCACGAAACUUGCCCCGAGAUGAGUUCUCCCUGAGACUUAGAGUCUCCUGAAGGAACGUUGAAGACGACGACGUUGAUAGGCCGGGUGUGUAAGCGCAGCGAUGCGUUGAGCUAACCGGUACUAAUGAACCGUGAGGCUUAACCUU